rnacentral:rRNA from 1 species
GAUGAACGCUGGCGGCGUGCCUAAUACAUGCAAGUCGAGCGAACAGACGAGGAGCUUGCUCCUCUGACGUUAGCGGCGGACGGGUGAGUAACACGUGGAUAACCUACCUAUAAGACUGGGAUAACUUCGGGAAACCGGAGCUAAUACCGGAUAAUAUAUUGAACCGCAUGGUUCAAUAGUGAAAGACGGUUUUGCUGUCACUUAUAGAUGGAUCCGCGCCGCAUUAGCUAGUUGGUAAGGUAACGGCGUACCAAGGCAACGAUGCGUAGCCGACCUGAGAGGGUGAUCGGCCACCCUGGAACUGAGACACGGUCCAGACUCCUACGGGAGGCAGCAGUAGGGAAUCUUCCGCAAUGGGCGAAAGCCUGACGGAGCAACGCCGCGUGAGUGAUGAAGGUCUUCGGAUCGUAAAACUCUGUUAUUAGGGAAGAACAAAUGUGUAAGUAACUAUGCACGUCUUGACGGUACCUAAUCAGAAAGCCACGGCUAACUACGUG